rnacentral:rRNA from 1 species
GACGAACGCUGGCGGCGUGCUUAACACACGCAAGUCGAACGGAAAGGCCCUGCUUUUGUGGGGUGCUCGAGUGGCGAACGGGUGAGUAACACGUGAGUAACCUGCCCUUGACUUUGGGAUAACUUCAGGAAACUGGGGCUAAUACCGGAUAGGAGCUCCUGCUGCAUGGUGGGGGUUGGAAAGUUUCGGCGGUUGGAGAUGGACUCGCGGCUUAUCAGCUUGUUGGUGGGGUAGUGGCUUACCAAGGCUUUGACGGGUAGCCGGCCUGAGAGGGUGACCGGCCACAUUGGGACUGAGAUACGGCCCAGACUCCUACGGGAGGCAGCAGUGGGGAAUAUUGCACAAUGGGCGGAAGCCUGAUGCAGCAACGCCGCGUGCGGGAUGACGGCCUUCGGGUUGUAAACCGCUUUCGCCUGUGACGAAGCGUGAGUGACGGUAAUGGGUAAAGAAGCACCGGCUAACUACGUG